AAUACUCCGGAAGAUUUAGUGGCGAACGGGUGAGGAACACGUGAGAAACUUGCCCCGGACUUUGGGAUAACAGUUGGAAACGACUGCUAAUACCGAAUACCUUCGGAGGCCCGCACGGGUCAUCGAAGAAAGAAUUUCGGUCCGGGAGAGUCUCGCGGCCUAUCAGCUAGUUGGUGGGGUAAUGGCCUACCAAGGCAACGACGGGUAGCUGGUCUGAGAGGAUGAUCAGCCACACUGGGACUGAGACACGGCCCAGACUCCUACGGGAGGCAGCAGUGGGGAAUCUUGUGCAAUGGGCGCAAGCCUGACACAGCAACGCCGCGUGCGGGAAGAAGGCCUUCGGGUCGUAAACCGCUUUCAGCAGGAACGAAAAUGACGGUACCUGCAGAAGAAGAUGCGGCCAACUACGUGCCAGCAGCCGCGGUGACACGUAGGCAUCAAGCGUUGUCCGGAUUUAUUGGGCGUAAAGAGCUCGUAGGCGGUUCAGCAAGUCGGGUGUGAAAACUAUGGGCUUAACCCAUAGCCUGCAUCCGAAACUGCUGUGACUAGAGUUCGGUAGGGGAGAGGGGAAUUCCUAGUGUAGCGGUGAAAUGCGCAGAUAUUAGGAGGAACACCGAUGGCGAAGGCCCCUCUCUGGGCCGAUACUGACGCUGAGGAGCGAAAGCGUGGGUAGCAAACAGGAUUAGAUACCCUGGUAGUC
rnacentral:rRNA from 1 species